AAAUAGUUUGGAAGUUUGGAAAUGAAGUUUGAAGUAUGGAAAGCAAGAGAAUUGCUCACAUGAAGAAAUUGACUCAUAUACACUUCCUUCAUGGCUGAGUUCUGAUAUGAUCAUGAGAUUCAGAGAGUGCACUGGGAUUAAAAUUCAUUAAAUUAAUAAAUAUUGUGCCUUUUUAUAUUUUGAGGAACAGCUCUUAAUUCUGUUUUCAGGUGUCAAUAUUCUAUCUAAUGCUACAUCAACCAGUUUAGUUUGUAAGCAAUUCUGUUAGAAAGUAUUGGCUGAAGUUUUGUACCCUUUCUAUUUCUGCUUUAUGAAAAAAGCAUUUGUAAAUCUAUUUCCUAAUCUUUCUCAGAUUAUGUUUGUGUUCAGAUAAAUUUCAUAGUUUAGAAAAUAAUUUUAUAGAAUAAUUUUAAUGAGAUAUUAGUUUGGCCUUUUUUGUUGUUGUUGUUGUUUUGUUUUGUUUUGUUUUGUUUUUUACUGUGCUAUGGAAAGAAAGCUAUGGAAAAGAAGAAAAUUAAAAAGAAAGCUGUGGAAAGGAAGAAGCUGUGCUAAAUCUGGCCAUUUUUGGAAAUUUUACCUGUGAAACAAGACUGACAAAAUUCUUUCUCUUUCAUCACCACGGCCUCCACUGCGUUAGGAUGACAAACUACAUAAAAGACUUUUCUCCAUAUUCUCUGUAGUUAACAUUUUCUCUAAAGAGUAAUUGCUAACCACAACCAUAGUGAUUUGUAAGGUGGUUCUUAGAUGUUUCCAAACACAGCCAUUUUUGGUUUUCAUUUCUGCUCAUAGAAGAAAUAUUGAAUUGCACGUGCUUCUUGUUUAUGAUUGGUAUUGAAAAUUAUAACUGUAAGUGAUGAUGGUAUUUUAUCCUUCAAAUAUUCUAUGGAAAAAUGUUUUUUAAGUACCUCAAGUCAAUUGUGAGAGAAAUCCAUUUGGGUUAAAUAUAGGCAUGUUUGCAUCUUAAACAAAAUGAAUUGAAAUGAUUUGUCAUAUUGUCAUUCAUUAAAUGGGAUACUUAAAUCAAUAAGAGGCGAAAAAAAACAACCAACCAACC
rnacentral:lncRNA from 1 species